GUUCCGUGCACUUUCGGAUCAGCUUUUUAGGUCACGUGAACACUACAAGCAUGUUCGAAAAGAGAUUGUAAAACAGUUUGCAGCAAAGAUAUGCCUUUUGACAUCAUUCAGAGACACUUAUUUCAUCGAAAUUAUGCCAUUGUAUGAAGCUCCGAAGCGUGGCAGAGUUUUAAUAUGUAGAUUCAAUGAAGUUAAUGAUGAAUCAAAGUGAUGAUGUGGAUACAACGUAUACUUGAUGAUUCCACGACAACAUGGUUUUGAUGAUAACAAAGAGGAAUGAUUCAAAGACGAAGCAAUAUCCAAAAAGCAAAUGUGAAAGCAUGCACCAAGUCUCGAGCAUCAAUCCAUGUCUAGAAUCUCAAAUGGUAUACUCAUUUAGGACUUAGGAUAAAUAUGUAAAGAUGUAUAGAUACAAAGCAUUGCAUGAGCUCAAGGUCAUUCAUCAAUCAUAUAUUUCAAAAGCAUGCAUCCUUAAAAGAAAAGUCAAGACAAAUGGUUUCAUAUGUACAAUAUUGGUUUGGAAGAAGUACCUAUGUGAUACAAACUUUUCUAGAUAAUUUCCAUAACCAAUAACAUGCAUUACACGUCAUAAAAAUCAUUUGUAAAGAGUAGAAACUCAGAACUCGUACAAAAAAGGCUGCUGCUAUGAAAUAUCCGGAUAUCCAAUAUCCGGAUAUGAAAUCUAGAAUAUCCGGAUAUCCAAUAUCCGGAUAUGUGCCCGAUAAAUAUCCGGAUAUGUACGGAUUACAACGGCUAGAAACGGCUAGUUUUCUUAUGAGGUGUCAUUAUAAAUACCCACAUCAGUUGGGAUGAACAGUACACGACCCUAGAUCAUUUAUUGAAGCUUUAUUACUCUUGCUAGGCUUUUAUUGCUCAUUAAUUACUUACUUUAAUCAUUGCAUACACUUGAGCUCAUCUUUCCUUUGAAGUUAUACAUCUCUUAGUUCUUCAAUUUGUUCAAUCUGUACUUUGAGAGUACUUAACCACUUCUAAUCACCUCAACACUACUUCUUUAUUUGAGAGGGGAGUGAACCCUAUAUUUGAGAGGUUACCAAAUUCCUAAGAAAAUUUGGAGUGAAAAAGUGUAAGGCAUCAAGAGCCCGAAGUCUUGAAAAGUUGUAGUGGUUUGUCAAACACCCUCAAGCUUGAUAGUUAGUGAAAAGAAUUGAUCGAGCGGCUUCAGUCUGGACGUAGGUCACGGUGGUGGU